GGGGAAUAUUGGGCAAUGGACGCAAGUCUGACCCAGCAACGCCGCGUGAAGGAAGAAGGCUUUCGGGUUGUAAACUUCUUUUAAGGGGGAAGAGUAGAAGACGGUACCCCUUGAAUAAGCCACGGCUAACUACGUGCCAGCAGCCGCGGUAAUACGUAGGGGGCAAGCGUUAUCCGGAUUUACUGGGUGUAAAGGGAGCGUAGGUGGUUCGGCAAGUCAGAUGUGAAAGCCCGGGGCUCAACCCCGGGACUGCAUUUGAAACUGUCGGGCUAGAGUGCAGGAGAGGUAAGUGGAAUUCCUAGUGUAGCGGUGAAAUGCGUAGAUAUAAGGAAGAACACCAGUGGCGAAGGCGGAUUACUGGACGACAACUGACGGUGAGGCGCGAAAGCGUGGGGAGCAAACA
rnacentral:rRNA from 1 species